CAAGUCGCACGGGCAGGGGCAACUCUGUCAGUGGCGGACGGGUGAGUAACGCGUAGGUAUCUAUCCUUGGGUGGGGGACAACUGUGGGAAACUACAGCUAAUACCGCAUGAUGACCGAGGUCCAAAGCUCGCGAGAGCGCCUGGGGAGGAGCCUGCGUACGAUUAGCUAGUUGGUGGGGUAAAGGCCUACCAAGGCGACGAUCGUUAGCUGGUCUGAGAGGAUGAUCAGCCACAUUGGGACUGAGACACGGCCCAAACUCCUACGGGAGGCAGCAGUGGGGAAUAUUGGACAAUGGGCGCAAGCCUGAUCCAGCAAUGCCGCGUGUGUGAAGAAGGUCUUCGGAUUGUAAAGCACUUUCGACGGGGACGAUGAUGACGGUACCCGUAGAAGAAGCCCCGGCUAACUUCGUGCCAGCAGCCGCGGUAAUACGAAGGGGGCUAGCGUUGCUCGGAAUGACUGGGCGUAAAGGGCGCGUAGGCGGAUGGCACAGUCAGAUGUGAAAUUCCCGGGCUUAACCUGGGGGCUGCAUUUGAUACGUGUUGUCUAGAGUGAGGAAGAGGGUCGUGGAAUUCCCAGUGUAGAGGUGAGAUUCGUAGAUAUUGGGAAGAACACCGGUGGCGAAGGCGGCGACCUGGUCCUUGACUGACGCUGAGGCGCGAAAGCGUGGGGAGCAAACAGGAUUAGAUACCCUGGUAGUCCACGCUGUAAACGAUGUGUGCUGGAUGUUGGGUGACCUAGUCGCUCAGUGUCGUAGCUAACGCGAUAAGCACACCGCCUGGGGAGUACGGCCGCAAGGUUGAAACUCAAAGGAAUUGACGGGGGCCCGCACAAGCGGUGGAGCAUGUGGUUUAAUUC
rnacentral:rRNA from 1 species